CAGGUUUGGACAACAGGAACAAUGGGUGAACUGAGUCCGGUUGUGAAGAUAGACGGAAGAUCUAUUGGCGAUGGGCAAGUUGGGGCUGUCACUCGAAGGUUGCAAAAUGCUUAUAAAAUGCUGACGGAAGAGUCGGGUGUUCAAAUACCUUCCUACAGUCAGACAUGAGGUAUUAUACUUCCAAAAAGGUGUAGAUUGCUUCUCCCCCUUAACAGCUGUUGUAAAGAAAGGGCACAGAAAAAUAAAACUGGGGGGAAAUCGCCCAUGUGUGGAUUGUUAUCAGUGCUGUUAUUGUUACUCUCCAACUUCCUAAACAAUAAACUUAAUGGUGAAAUUGUGCUUGCAAAUAAUGAGGUCUUGAUGAACCUAUUCUGAUAAAAGACCAGAAUAGAAAUAAGAAAAAGUCGAAAUGCACUUCUUU